rnacentral:lncRNA from 1 species
CUCGCUCCAGGAAGCCUUUUCUGAUGCUCCCAACCUGGAUCAGGUCCUUCCUACACAAUCCUAUGUGUAUACUCUACCCUUGCCUUUAUAACCCUUAUAGGAGCUAUAAUACAUAUUAAUUUAUAAGAUUAUUUGGUUAAAGCCUCUCUCCUCCACUGGCUAAAAGUUAAAAGAGGAACAGACUGUUUUGUUCUCAUAGUGGUCUUUGUUUAUAGAUAUAUCUAUCUAUCUAUCUAUCUAUCUAUCUAUCAUCUAUCUAUUAUCUAUCUAUCUUUGCUUUGUAGGGCCACAUCCGCAGCAUAUGGAGAUUCCCAGGCUAGGGGUCUAAUCCGAGCUACAGCUGCUGGUCUACGCCACAGACACAGCAACAUGGGAUCCCAGCCGAGUCUGCGACCUACACCACAGUUCAUGGCAACACUGGAUCCUUAACCCACUGAGCGAGGCCAGGGAUCAAACCGAAACCUCGUGGUUCCUAGUUGGAUUUGUUUCUGCUGCACCACAAUGGGAACUCCACUUACAGUGAUCUUUAUAUCCAAUGUAAUGCCUAGGUAGGUUCUGCUAAAAUAAAAAAAAAAGAUUUGUUAGAUGAGUGAAGAUGAAUGAUAAAAAAAAUUAAUGAAGGAAUAAGACUGUAAUUGGACAGUAAAAUAUGUGAGGAAUGAAUUGCACACAAUUUGCAAAAUCUAGUCUCACUUUUUAUUGCUAGGUUAAGACUAGAUUAUAAGGUUGUCAGGGGAGUAACUUCUAUGACAAAUUUCUUCCCAGUCUUUCUCUUCUAGCACACUACUUUUUAGUCUUUCCUCAAUUCUAAUUUUUCAACCCAGAUAGUAUGUGUAGCAAUAAAACGUCCUGGAUUUUUUGACUUAGUCUUGAUUUUAAAUAUCCUGUUCCAUUGUUCUCAAAAAGUUCUCUAUUGUCAAAGAAUGAUGUCCUAAUAUGGGGUUCUGAAAAUUUGGUCACUGUGAUAUAUGUUUCUGAUAUACUAGUAGGUGAUAUAUGGGUCAUUUUUAAUAGGUAAAUGAUAUGUUAGAUAAAUGGAUGGAUGGAUGGAUAGAUAGAUAGAUAGAUAGAUAGAUAGAUAGAUGAUUGAUAGAUAGAAAGAAAGAAUAAAUGGAUGGGUGGACAGAGGGACAGACAGAUACUGCACAUACUGUAUUUGUUUUACCCUACCUGAAUAAAUGGUGACAUCCUUUAAUUUAGGGGUCGUGUCUUCCAUUUAUUUCUCCUAUAGACUAGCCAGUAGCAGGCAGAAAGAGAAGUAGCUUUCUAAUGUAUAAUGUGCAGUGGGGAAGGAAGUCUUACUUUGAUCCUUGCAGACAUUUAUUCAGACCAGCUGAUAUCCUUAGCCAGGUUUAUGAUGUUUUAAUUGUAACAAAGACAGUGCUAUGUGUCUCAAAGUAUUCUCUGUUUUAGCUGCUCUCAUUUGUGUUUGGCAAGGCAUUAUAAGAAAGAGAUGAACUCAAGAAGAAGGUUGAUUUGAAAGAGGGAAAGAAACAAAAUAGAUGCUGUCUAGAAAGCCUUGCAAGAUUGGUAAAGCCAAUUGCUGCUAGACCCCAAAGAAGAAGAAAUGGGAUUCCAGAGGCUCUGAAAAAAGAAAACUGAGUGGAUCGUCCCAGCUUAACAUAUGUGGUAAUACCCAGGUCUAACAGCCUCAAGGUGGUUGCCAUCAAACAGAGAGAGAGACAGAUGUAGAUAAAGAAGCCAAGACUGCAGAAAUUAUCACAUUGUCAAUCAACUAUACUUCAAUAAAACUGUUAAAAAUGAAAAAAAGAGAAGCAAAGACACAAUACAGACAUGAAAACUAUGUUUUGCAAAUAUUUCUAGGCAUGGUUAAUGGCACAUAAAACCAAGCGGAGGCCAAUAGAUCAAUUUUGAACACAAACAUACACUCAAAGAAAGCACAGACUUCAACUAAAAAUGCCUUUAACUAUUAGCAACGUUCUGCAAACUUUGGGCUCAAACUCCAGAACUGGAAGGACACAGGAAGAGCCUUACUGACCUCAUGGGAAGCAUCAUCCUCAACAGUAGUUUCAGCGAUAGUGGGGUUGAUAGCUGAAAAGGAUAGACUUCCUCAAGGGCUGAGCCACGCACCAUGGGGAACAAUGGACAAGGGAUACUUUCUGACUGCAGAAUUGUUUUUUUUUUUUUUUUUUCAUUUUAAAACAUUUUAUUAAAGUAUAGUUGAUUUACAAGGUUGUAAUAUUUUCUGCUGUACAACUAAGUGAUUCAGUUAUGCAUAUAUACACAUCCUUCUCUUUCAGAUUCUUUUCCCCUAUAGAUUAUCACAGAAUAUUGGGUAGAAUUCUUUGUGCUAUACAGCAGUUCCCCAUUGGCCAAUCAUUCCAUAUACCUCCAUGUGCAUAUGCCAAUCACAACCCCCCAACUCCCACCCUCACUGAGUCAGGAUUUAGACAAACAUUUUUCUCUCCUGCUAGGGUAGGAAGCCAUCCCAGUGUCUCCUGUAGGACUUGAUUAUUACUAUGGAAAAUGACUUUGGUGCAUUACUACCUUUCCCCUUUCUCUGGGAAGAAUGUGUCACUGUCAUUCUGUCCCUAUCCCACUAUUGCCUCUGGCGUGCCCUGGGGGAACCAGAUAACUUGUCUUUUCAGGCAAAGAUUACUUUAAACUGUCAUAUUUGAACUUGAGGAAGAGGACAAAUUGAAAAAUGAAGACAUUGCUAGAAGAUCCCAGACUUUUAGCUAUAGGCAGUGACAUGAUGGAACUUUGUUUUCUCAAAGGAAGGGCUCGGUGGCUGAGAAUAUUCUAUAUUCUCAUCUAGCAAUAAAAUGGGUAUUUGGUCACUGUGGCAGAGACAGUGCUUCGUGUUUACCAAACCUAUUUCGCCUACCCUAUAUGCCCUAACUUACCCUAUAUGCCCUAACAUGGGCUAUAGAAAGACUCCAUCUCCCAGCCUCUGUCAAGAGAGGCCAUCAGGAAUGUUCUUUCCAAGGGAAUGUAGGUAGAAGCUGUGUGCUACUUCCAGACUUGACCCCUAAAACUUUUUAGAAAUACUUACAUGUUCUUUUUUUUUUUUUUGGAAUUUAUUUUUUUUAUUACUCAGUGAAUUUUAUUACACUUAUAGUUGUACAACGAUAAUCACAACCAAAUUUUACAGCAUUUCCAUCCCAAACCUUCAGUGCAUUCCCCCCAUCCCCCAACCUGUCUCAUUUGGAAACCAAAAAUUUUUCAGAGUCUGUGCAUCAGUAUCUGUUCUGCAAAGAAUUUCAUUGUGUCCUUUUUUUAGAUUCCACAUGUCAGUGAAAGCAUUUGAUGUUGGUAUCUGACUGUCUGACUUACUUCACUUAGCGUGACAAUUUCUGGAUCCAUCCAUGUUGCUGUAAAUGCCAUUAUUUUUUUCCUUUUAAUGGCUAAGUCAUAUUCCUUUGUGUACAUGUACCAUAUCUUCUUUAUCCACUCCUCUGUUUAUGGACAGUUAGGUUGUUUCCAGGACUUGGCUACUGUAUAUAGUGCUUCAAUGAACAAUGGAGUACAUGUGUCUUUUCCAGUCAUGGUUUUCUCUGGAUUGAUGCCCAGGAGUGGGAUUGCUGGAACAAAUGGUAAUUCUAUUUUUAGUUUUCUGAGGAAUCUCCAUACUAUUUUCCACAGUGGUUGCACCGAUUUGCAUUCCCACCAACAGUUUAAUAGGGUUCCUUUUCUCCACACCCUCUCUAGCAUUUAUUGUUUGUAGAUUUUUUGAUGAUGGCCAUUCUGGCUGGUGUAAGGCGGUGCCUCAUGGUAGUUUUGAUUUGCCUUUCUCUAAUAAUGAGUGGUGCUGAACAUUUUUCAUGCGUUUUUUGGCCAUCUGUAUGUCUUCUCUGGAGAAUUUUCUGUUUAGAUCUUCUGCCCACUUUUGGAUGGGGUUUGUUUUUUGGUAUUGAGCUGCAGAAGGUGUUUAUAAAUUUUGGAGGUUAAUCUCUUGUCAGUCGCUUCAUUUGCAAAUAUUUUCUCCUAUUCUGUUGGUUGUCUUUUUAUUUUGUUUAGGGUAGAAAUACCUUACAUGUUCUCUUUUUGCUUUAGUGCUAGAGAGAUGGUGCCACUUGGUACAAGAAGCCUGGGUCCCUGAGUGUCCAACUGAGGAAAGCUGCCUGGGAGAGCCACCCAACCAGGAACAUCACUUUGGGACAUUUCAUGAACAAAAGCAAAACUUUCAUUGUAUUAAAAUAAAAAUAAACAUGAGUUCUUUGGUGGCUCAAUCGGUUAAGGUUCUGGCAUUGUCAGUGCUGUGGCACAGGUUCGAUUCCUGGCCUGGGAAUUUCUGUAUGCCAUAGGUGCAGCCUACACCACAGCCACAGCAACAUGGGAUCUGAGCCGAAUCUGGGACCUACCCCACAGCUCACGGCAAAGCCAGAUCCUUAACCCACUGAGCGAGGCCAGGGAUCAAACCCACAUCCUCAUGGAUACUAGUCGGGUUUGUUUCCACUAUGCUACAAUGGAAACUCCUAAAAAUAAAUUUCUAUGUUCACCAAUCUGCAGACAUUUCCCUCGAGUUUCUUUGUCACUGCAGCAGAGGAACACUGUCUUGGCAUUGACCUGCCUGGGCAAAUACAGGGUACCUGCACAGAGGGAAUGGUUUUCCUCUCCCCUUUAAUGGCCCUGUAUUUCCUCCUCGCUACAGAGUUCCUGCAUUGGGCUUCUUUGUUUAAUCACAGAAAACUGAAAAGAAAAACCAAAGAUUCGUUUCAGAAGAAACAUAACCCACUUGUAUUGUUUCCAGGUUUCUAGGCGCUCUGAAUGAUAUAAAGUUAAAAGCUAUGCCCUGGAGGAAUUGCCAAGUUGUAGGCGAUUAGACACAGGCACACACGUGACUAAAAGAGAAGGUAAAACGUACAAGGUGACUGGGUAAGACACGAGGUACUGUAACCAUGUGGGGGAAAAAGUGAUUACUUCCCAUUGCAAAAUAAAUGCAAGUAAACCCAAUGGUCCUAAUUGAAAAAAAAAAUAUGAAUAUGCCCCUCGCUCCUUUCCUAAUAGGUUAUUUAUCACCUGGACAUGCACUUUAUCUGCUUCAGAUUUUCAGUUCUUGGCUGAUUCCUGCCUGUCACCCAGUAUACAUCAGAAUUAUCAACCCCUGGAGUUCCUGUCGUGGUGCAGUGGUUAACGAAUCCGACUAGGAACCAUGAGGUUGCGGGUUCAAUCCCUGCCCUUGCUCAGUGGGUUAAGAAUCUGGCAUGGCCGUGAGCUGUGGUGUAGGUCGCAGACGCAGCUCGGAUCCUGCGUUGCUGUGGCUCUGGCGUAGGCUAGCGGCUACAGCUCCGAUUAGACCCCUAGCCUGGGAACCUCCAUAUGCUGCAGAAGCAGCC